rnacentral:SRP_RNA from 1 species
GCCGGGCGCGGUGGCGCGUGCCUGUAGUCCCAGCUACUCGGGAGGCUGAGGUGGGAGGAUCUCUUGAGCCCAGGAGUUCUGGGCUGCAGUGCGCUAUGCCGAUCGGGUGUCCGCACUAAGUUCGGCAUCAAUAUGGUGACCUCCCGGGAGCGGGGGACCACCAGGUUGCCUAAGGAGGGGUGAACCGGCCCAGGUCGGAAACGGAGCAGGUCAAAACUCCCGUGCUGAUCAGUAGUGGGAUCGCGCCUGUGAAUAGCCACUGCACUCCAGCCUGGGCAACAUAGCGAGACCCCGUCUCUA